rnacentral:rRNA from 1 species
AUGCACGCUGGCGGCGUGCCUAAUACCUGCCAGUCGCGCGAACAGACGAGGAGCUUGCUCCUCUGACGUUAGCGGCGGACGGGUGAGUAACACGUGGAUAACCUACCUAUAAGACUGGGAUAACUUCGGGAAACCGGAGCUAAUACCGGAUAAUAUAUUGAACCGCAUGGUUCAAUAGUGAAAGACGGUUUUGCUGUCACUUAUAGAUGGAUCCGCGCCGCAUUAGCUAGUUGGUAAGGUAACGGCUUACCAAGGCAACGAUGCGUAGCCGACCUGAGAGGGUGAUCGGCCACACUGGAACUGAGACACGGUCCAGACUCCUACGGGAGGCAGCAGUAGGGAAUCUUCCGCAAUGGGCGAAAGCUUGACGGAGCAACGCCGCGUGAGUGAUGAAGGUCUUCGGAUCGUAAAACUCUGUUAUUAGGGAAGAACAAAUGUGUAAGUAACUAUGCACGUCUUGACGGUACCUAAUCAGAAAGCCACGGCUAACUACGUG